AUACGUAGGUGGCAAGCGUUGUCCGGAAUUAUUGGGCGUAAAGCGCAUGUAGGCGGUAAUUUAAGUCUGUCGUGAAACUGCGGGGCUCAGCCCCGUAUGGCGAUGGAAACUGGGUUAAUUGAGUGCAGGAGAGGAAAGGGGAACUCCCAGUGUAGCGGGGAAAUGCGUAGAUAUUGGGAAGAAAACCGGUGGCGAAGGCGCCUUUCUGGACUGUGUUUGACGCGGAGAGGCGAAAGACAGGGUGGCGAGCGGGAUUAGAUACCCCGGUAGUCCUGGCCGUAAACGAUGGGUACUAGGUGUGGGGGGUAUCGACCCCUUCCGUGCCGGAGUUAACGCAAUAAGUACCCCGCCUGGGGAGUACGGCCGCAAGGCUUAAACUCAAAGGAAUUGACGGGG
rnacentral:rRNA from 1 species